GUGACCUGCGGAGGUCAUUG
rnacentral:rRNA from 1 species